rnacentral:tRNA from 1 species
UUGUAGCUCAGUUGGUAGAGCAGCAGCCUCGUAAUCUGCAGGUCGGCGGUUCAAUUCCGCCC